AUUGAACGCUGGCGGCGUGCCUAACACAUGCAAGUCGAACGCCGUAGCAAUACGGAGUGGCAGACGGGUGAGUAACGCGUGGGAACAUACUCCUCGGUUCGGAAUAACUCAGGGAAACUUGAGCUAAUACCGGAUACGUCCGAUGUUUUUAAUCGACCUUGGAGAAAGAUUUUAUCGCCGGAGGAUUGGCCCGCGUCUGAUUAGCUUGUUGGUGAGGUAAUGGCUCACCAAGGCGACGAUCAGUAGCUGGUCUGAGAGGAUGAUCAGCCACAUUGGGACUGAGACACGGCCCAAACUCCUACGGGAGGCAGCAGUGGGGAAUAUUGGACAAAUGGGCGAAAAGCCCUGAUCCAGCCAUGCCGCGUGAGUGAUGAAGGCCUUUA
rnacentral:rRNA from 1 species